UACGAAGGGGGCUAGCGUUGCUCGGAAUCACUGGGCGUAAAGCGCACGUAGGCGGCUUUCUAAGUCAGGGGUGAAAUCCUGGAGCUCAACUCCAGAACUGCCUUUGAUACUGGAGAGCUUGAGUCCGGAAGAGGUGAGUGGAACUCCGAGUGUAGAGGUGAAAUUCGUAGAUAUUCGGAAGAACACCAGUGGCGGAAGGCG
rnacentral:rRNA from 1 species